rfam:Lysinimicrobium mangrovi strain DSM 24868 genome assembly, contig: Ga0111703_101
GCCCCGGUAGCCCAACUGGCAGAGGCACGCGGCUCAAACCCGCGGUGUUGUGGGUUCGAAUCCCACCCGGGGUA